ensembl:lncRNA
GUUCUCUAUUAUAGCCAAAGAAAGCGGUCUCCUCCCCACGAGUAAUAACCCCCCCGCCCCCACGUCAAGAUGUAACCAAUCAGUGCUGAAAUCUUUCUACCAUGUGACUAUUUACGAGCAUUGGGAAGCGUCCAUAGGCGGUGACAAUAGUGGGCCUGUCUCGUGCGUUUCGUUGUGUAGACUCUGAGUAGCUGUUUUGGACUCAUAAUAUCACCACACCUUAUUUUUUUGGAUAGCUUCAUGCACCGAUGUUACAUCAUAUUCCACUGGAUACUUACAUAGAAUAGUUCUGGAUCCAACUCAUAUUUUUGUUUCUUUCUUCAUGGAUGGCAUGGCUUUUGAAGGAACGUGAUUUAUCAUAAGUGUUUGCAAACUCGUGGGAAAUUCUAAACAAAGUUACUGUUCAAGUGAAGUUUCAUUUUCAAAGAUGGAUCAGCAGGCUGCUGGAGGGGAGGACCCAAAUAAACCCUCCAAAAAGAAAUCCAGUGAGGAUGAAAGCAAAAACAAAAAACUGAACAUACACAUAAAAACAUUGGCUGAUGACAUGGUAAGGUGUCUGUUUCUUUUAUUUUGUGUGUCUUUCUUUCUUUUUUUCAUCUUCGCCACGACUCCCAGAGCAUUGUUAAAGUUAAGUGAUUGACAGAGAGAUCAAAGACGAAAAAGCAAAGCAAAAUUAUUAUUAUUUUUUUUUUUUAAUGUGUCAUCGGGUCUGUCAUAAUCAAUCAUUCUAAAGUUCACUCCGGGUCAGCAAGCUGGAGUUCAAGCAGACACAUGGCAACUUGAUGCAAUCAUUCAUGAUAAGUUGCCAGGCUUUGUCUAAAUUUUGACUUUGGUCUCUCCUUAAACACUUGCAUUUUACAACAGAGUGUGUUUUGAUUCUUUUAAUUCAUUUGUUUUGAAUUCAUAUAUAUAUUUGCAUGUUCCCUAUGUUUUCACUGACAGACUAACAGUGACUACUAGUGCAUGGUCUGUUUUCACUCUCUCUGAGCCAGUAACCCAUGACUGGAAUGCUGGCAGAAUCUCUUUCUAAUUAGAAACCUUAAACAUGUCAUAGUCCCAUCAUGCUGUCUAAUAUAGUGCAGAAUGCUGUCUGUGAUAUUGUUUCUGUAUUCAUUAUGACUGUAAAGUGAAUAUGAACAAGUGGAAAGAUGACACAGGUAAUAUCCCCUCAUGCUUUUAAAAGUACAGGUUGGAAAGGUAAAGUAACAAGGGAACAGGUAAGUCACAUGUCAAGCUAUGAACUUUAAACCAUAUUUUAAAACUUUAUAUCAAGUAACUAAACUGUUUUGUAUUAACUUAAAAAUACCCCUGUGAAAUUGUAAGGGGGGAUUUGUGGUUUUUAGUCCAUGUAUAUUGUCUUUAAGGCAAUCUAUUUGCUAAUAUACUAUUGAAUGUUGAAAAUUCACACUAUUGUUAAAAAAGCAUUAAAAAAAACAAACAAACAAAAAAAAAACGUUUUUGACAGUUUAUGUUCAGCAAGUUUGCAAUUAUUUGAUCAAAAAUACAAUAAAAACAGUAAUAUUUUGAAAUAUUUUUACA